UACAGAGGUCUCAAGCGUUGUUCGGAUUCAUUGGGCGUAAAGGGCGCGUAGGCUGCGGGGCAAGUCGGGUGUGAAAGUCUCAGAGCUCAACUCUGAAACUGCACUCGAUACUGCUUUGCUUGAGGACUGGAGAGGAGAUUGGAAUUCACGGUGUAGCAGUGAAAUGCGUAGAUAUCGUAAGGAAGACCAGUGGCGAAGGCGGGUCUCUGGACAGUUCCUGACGCUGAGGCACGAAGGCCAGGGGAGCAAAACGGG
rnacentral:rRNA from 1 species